GGUGCUUGUGCUUCUCGGCAGGCACGAGCGUGUGGUUAGCUCUACAAGCUAAAAGCGGCUUCAAGGCUAAUGCCACGUGACAUUCGUGCCAGGUCAUGUGAUCGAUUAUACAUCCUCCUUGCUGCCUUCAACUUUUCCCUCAGCAAAUCCCAAACAAACGAACAUGGCGGAUUAUGAGGAGCGGCAGAGCCUGCAGGGAGAUGAGGCCGAGGGCAGACAGGCGGCCGGGGGACCGGGCAGACCCCUGCCGGCCAUCUGCGACCCCGGACACCUGCUGCACCGAGUGGUGGUCCUGGUAUUCAUGUGCUUCUUGGGAUUUGGAAGCUACUUCUGUUAUGAUAACCCAGCUGCACUUCAAACUCAAGUCAUCCAGGAUUUGGAUCUGAACACUGCUAAGUUCAUGCAGCUGUAUGCCUGGUACUCCUGGCCCAAUGUGGUUCUCUGCUUCUUCGGGGGGUUCCUGCUCGAUAGGGUUUUUGGCAUCAGGCUGGGAACCAUCAUCUUUUCCCUAUUUGUCUGUGUUGGACAGGUAAUAUUUGCUACUGGAGCUUUGCUGAAUCGCUUCUGGCUCAUGGAAGCUGGACGUUUUGUAUUUGGUAUUGGAGGAGAGUCCCUGGCUGUGGCCCAGAACACCUAUGCAGUGAAUUGGUUCAAAGGAAAGGAGCUGAAUCUAGUGUUUGGCCUUCAGCUCAGCAUGGCACGUGUGGGCAGCACAGUAAACAUGAACAUCAUGGGCUGGGUGUACAGCAGAGCCGUCGCCCUCGUUGGCGCUCCUGGACACACCGCACUCGGCGCUUCACUCAUGAUCGCUGGUGUGACCUGCCUGUUUUCACUCACCUGUGCCUUGGUGUUGGGAUUCCUUGACAAAAGAGCAGAGAAGAUCCUCAACAAGGAACAAGGCAAAACAGGCGAAGUGAUCAAGUUGACUGACGUGAAAGACUUCCCCUUAACCCUGUGGCUCAUCUUCAUCAUUUGCGUUUGCUACUAUGUCGCCAUUUUCCCCUUUAUUGGACUGGGACAGGUGUUCUUCAUUGAAAAAUUUGACUUCUCACCAGCUGAAGCCAGAGCCGUCAACAGUAUUGUGUACAUCAUCUCAGCCCCUGCAUCUCCAGUUCUAGGCUUCAUGGUGGAUAGGAUAGGCAAGAAUGUGAUUUGGGUAAUGGUUGCUGUGAUCGCCACACUCGCCGCUCACAUGAUGCUGGCCUUUACCUUCUGGAACCCAUGGAUCGCCAUGUCCCUCCUGGGUCUCUCCUACUCCUUACUGGCCUGUGCACUGUGGCCCAUGGUGGCCUUUGUGGUACCAGAGCAUCAGCUGGGGACAGCCUAUGGCUUCAUGCAGUCUAUCCAGAACCUGGGACUGGCUCUCGUUGCCAUGGCAGCAGGAGCUAUCCUAGACAAUCAAGGAUACCUGUUUUUAGAAGUGUUUUUCUGCGUCUGCAUCUGCGUUUCACUGAUGGCAGUGGUGAUGCUGUACUUUGUGGAUUAUCUUAAAGGAGGAGAUUUGAACAUGUCAGCCGCAGGCAGAGCCAGACUCCAGAAAGAAGCCACUUCAGAUGCAGAAUGAUGAUGAUGAUGAUGAUGAUGAUGAUGAUGAUGAGGGAACACUGGGCUAGUCCUGGGCUUCAGAGCCAGCAGGCUGCACUGUCCACCCCAGAGCUGUCAAUCAACUGCCACGGGGCGGGACUGCACUACUGACUCCGCCCAGUGCUGUCAGCUGUGGCUCUUCCCAUCACAACUGACUGUCUGAACAAAACCAACCUUUUAUAGCUUAUUAUGUCCCUACCAGGAGGACCAAUGACACGUUUCAGUUUGGCCUCAACAGUUCCUCUCUGACCUCUCACACUGAUGUCAUAUCCUCCACUGACUUGUGUGUGUGUCAAACUUACGGAAAAAGUCAAGAUGCUUUGAUAGUUUUUUCAAACCCUUUUAAGCAAAAGACAAUGAUCUAUUAUAUGAUAGAUCUUUUUAGAUUUUAUGACAUGCUAAUUGAUCACCCAAUAUAGGAUUUCUAUAUUCAUUCAAUUGUUUUAAAUGUAUAUAAUGGUAACUUUGUGGAUGUUUUCAUGUUUUGUUUUUUUACAACUUGUUCUCAGAACAACCCUGUUACUCGCCUUAUUUCAGACAACUCAGCAGUUUGUUUAUGUACAUAUCAGUUGUCAGCAUUCACAAAAGUUGCCAACCAAAAUCCUCCCUUCUGGACUUUCAUACUUAAUUCUAAUCAUAUGCGUCAUCGACCCUUUAUAGUUUAUAAUGUCUAAAAGAGCAUAGCUCUUGUUUAAAUCUUCAAUGUUUAAUUAUUUGAUUCCUAAAUUAAUUUACCUGCUCUUCACUGGUUUGGAGAGUUCAUAAAGAUAAAUGUUCUGUUGCAUCAUCAAAUAUUAUAUCACUAUAAUGAUCUGAAAGACAAUUAAAAGAAAGAGGCUCACUUUCAAGUGCAUAUACCCAUGUAUUAAUAAUUCCCCAGAUGUUUAGCUUUUUACAAACUGCUUUUAUCCUUGUGACCUAUAAAACAUGUUUUUAGAAAAUGUUGCAACCUUUUCAAGCUCAGGAAACUAAGUGGUAUUGGUAAGCAAUUGCCCGCAAAUCUUUGCUUGCUUCAUCUGAACGUUGAGACAAAAUGCACUCUGAUUAAAUCUCAUAAUUCCAGUAAAGUGGGAAGAGAUGUAUCCCUGUGUUGGUAUCAAGGUCGAAAACUGUGGCGGAUAAACAAUCACUACCUCAGUUGGGCAAAUAAGUCCUCUAAUAAUUAAGAGUAACUUAACGCCCCCAAAAAAUAUUGUUAUUUUUUUCUUGCAUAGUUUGCCUUCUCACUUUGCUGCAGUGAUGAUGUGUUGUCCCUUGCACUGUGACAUCACUGUUGAUUACCAGUGAUGGUUAGACUUGAGUCUAACGCUGUUUUUCAAUCUGGAGUUAAGUUACCCUAUAGUGCCCAACCUGUGCAAGAAGCCGGUCAGUAGCAUGUAGUUAAAAUGUUGUGAUUGCACAUUAUAAUGACCAGAGUGUCAUACUGUACAACCAGAAACAUGCCACUCUCUUCACCUAUCACUCAUUUGCACUAUGGUGGUUGUUAACUGAACAUGUUUGUGUGAAAGUAUCAACUGUUAUUGAGCUGUGUACAAGAAAUUACACAAGAUCCAUUGUACAAUGAAAGACAGUGAGAUUGUACAGAAAGCCACUAAAAUAAGUAUUUUUGUAGAACCAAAUCACAAUUGUUAAUGAGACAUGGCAUGUAAUUAAACACAAUUAUUUGAAAGCA